ACAAAAGGCUUCCGCAGCCUCAAUAGUCAAUAGCCAUAUCCAGUUCAACCGCGGUUCACCAAUCCCUAUAAGGCAUUUCUUCAAACACCUUGGCACUCGCAAACUCAUCUCCAGCUUCCCCAAAAUCCACCGUGCUUUUCUCGAUAAAACCCUACAGCCCAAUCUCGACGAUCUUCGCUGUGACGAGCCCUUUCUCCGUACUAGCAACAAUGUUUAUGCGAUGGAGGACAAGGAUUCUCGAUUUGUGAUAACACUCUUACAGCGAUAAUUUUAUAUUCAAGACUGCUGUUUUGCGAUUCACUUUCGAUUUUGUGCGUAUAGCAUUCAAGAUUGUGGAAUUCUGAGGAUCUCAACACUCAACUUGAGGUGAAUAAUGGGAAUAAUUACUAAUUAACUAGGCUACAAUCACUCGUUACAUGAUCAAUCAGCAUACUAGCCUUUUCAAUCAACGGAUGCAACGUUAUGAUGAAGUUCCUUUUCUAACGCAUUUCUUGGCUUGCUCUUGGUUCUAAUGACUUAGAACUCAUCCAAGUAGAAGAAAGAACGAUACCUAAAUCUUCAAGCACUGACAUGAGCUAUCAAAUAUAUCCAUCCAAGACAAUUGUGUACAUCAAUAGAUUCUCUGAUUUUGUGUAA